CAGAGCCAACCUUGAAAUACCACCUAGGCUAACCUAAAAAUCUAACUCGCUUCCGUAAUCCGGAAGGAGGACAAUGCCUGGUGGGCAGUUUGACUGGGGCGGUCGCCUACCCAAAAAGUAACGGAGGCGCGAAGGUUCCCUCAGCCUGAUUGGAAACCAGGCGCAGAGUGUAAUGGCAUAAGGGAGCUUGACUGCGAGACAAACAAGUCGAGCAGGUGCGAAAGCAGGUCAUAGUGAUCCGGUGGUCCUGUAUGGAAAGGCCAUCGCUCAACGGAUAAAAGGUACUCCGGAUAACAGGCUUAUCACGCCCAAGAGUUCACAUCGACGGCGUGGUUUGGCACCUCGAUGUCGGCUCAUCGCAUCCUGGGGCUGAAGUAGGUCCCAAGGGUUCGGCUGUUCGCCGAUUAAAGCGGUACGCGAGCUGGGUUCAAAACGUCGUGAGACAGUUUUGGUCCCUAUCCGCCGUGGGCGCAGGAGACUUGAGAGGAGCUAACCUUAGUACGAGAG
rnacentral:rRNA from 1 species